GCAAAUAUCAGUUCCAUUUUGGCUAUUUCAAUAAAUAUUAACAUAUCAUUUCAACUAUGACAAUCUCAAAACUCAAGAUUUAUGUUGCGUUAUUUGCGCUGCAUAUUUUGACAGACAGCAUAAUUUUUUCAGCUCAAGACACAGAACAAACAAUGUUUGCACCCGCAGAAAAAUCAACUUCAUUAAUUAUCAAUGGAAUAAAAGCUAAUCAGAGACCCUUCUACGUCAGAAUUCUUUCAAACAGGAGCAAAAAAUUCUGUGGUGCAACUGUUAUUGAUUUCAAUUGGGUAGUAACCUCCGCAAACUGCAUUGCUAACAACAGCUUAGCGUGGCUUUCUGUGGAAAUUGGGGACUUUGCAAACCCGAGUAUGUUAAAAGUGAAAUUUGGCGUGGAAAAGGUCAUUUUAGCUGACAGUUUCAAACGCACUACUGGCAGACCUUACAACAAUAUCGCACUCGUCAAAAUGAAGCGACGACUCGGAUUUGGCCGAAUUUUGCCGAUGUGCCGAGAGUCUCCAGACUUAGGAAUCCAAAACUUUGUUU